UACGUAGGGUGCGAGCGUUAAUCGGAAUUACUGGGCGUAAAGCGUGCGCAGGCGGUUUUGUAAGUCUGUCGUGAAAGCCCCGGGCUCAACCUGGGAAUGGCGAUGGAGACUGCAAGGCUCGAAUCUGGCAGAGGGGGGUAGAAUUCCACGUGUAGCAGUGAAAUGCGUAGAGAUGUGGAGGAACACCGAUGGCGAAGGCAGCCCCCUGGGUCAAGAUUGACGCUCAUGCACGAAAGCGUGGGGAGCGAACAGG
rnacentral:rRNA from 1 species